GAGCCUCUAAACAUGGCCACAGCUCAGUGAUACUGACCAACCAAACAUCCCUUUGCUGGACCUAUGCAAACAUGAAACAGAUAAAGAGAAGUGCGCAUGUGGCAUUCAUCAGAGGAAUAAGACCAACGCGAAUUUUAGGCCUGAUGGUCCUUUCCUGGAGAAAGAAACUCUGAAACUCUCAUAAAAACAGACAUGUGGAACUGCCUGAAGUGAGCAAUCUGACCACCAGGGGGCAGCAUGAGCCCAUCGCUUUGUCUGAAAACAGACAGGUCCUAGUCGGCGGC